rnacentral:rRNA from 1 species
UACGUAGGGCGCGAGCGUUGUCCGGAAUCAUUGGGCGUAAAGAGCUCGUAGGCGGCCGGUUGCGUCUGCUGUGAAAUCCCGGGGCUUAACCCCGGGCGUGCAGUGGAUACGGGCUGGCUGGAGGCAGGCAGGGGAGAAUGGAAUUCCCGGUGUAGCGGUGAAAUGCGCAGAUAUCGGGAGGAACACCGGUGGCGAAGGCGGUUCUCUGGGCCUGUGCUGACGCUGAGGCACGAAGGCCAGGGGAGCAAACGGG